rnacentral:lncRNA from 1 species
UGGUGACUUAGUCCUGAGAAAGGCAGAGGUCUCGAGGCCCCUGGACCAAGGGAAGCUGGCUCCGAACUGGGAAGGGCCCUACACGAUGGCAGACACCUAUGGUCCGAGAGCCUACCGACUGGAGACUCUGGAAGGGAAACCCAUUUCCCGAACAUAGAACGUCGACAACCUGAAGUUGUAUUACCAAUGAACUCUGUACUUGUCCAGUCGGAAUACAAAUCCAGUUUGAAAUCUCGGAGUUUAACUCUUCGACUGACGAUCGGCGCUCACCAAGGUCGAGCCCCGAUGUGCAAACUCGGACUUGGUAUCCGUGCGAAACCGAUGGCUCCAUAGUCGACGA